UACAGAGGGGGCAAGCGUUAUUCGGAAUUAUUGGGCGUAAAGGGCGCGUAGGCGGCGAUUCAAGUGACGGGUGAAAUCCCUCGGCUUAACCGAGGAACUGCCUGUCAGACUGGAUUGCUUGAGGCCGGGAGAGGCGAGUGGAAUUCCCAGUGUAGCGGUGAAAUGCGUAGAUAUUGGGAGGAACACCAGUGGCGAAGGCGGCUCGCUGGACCGGUUCUGACGCUGAGGCGCGAAAGCGUGGGUAGCAAACAGG
rnacentral:rRNA from 1 species